CUCCAGUUGUCUGAAUGGUUGAGGUCCCAGUCUGCAAAACUGUGGUAUGGGAGUUCAAGUCUCCCACUGGAGU
rnacentral:tRNA from 2 species